CCUGGUGGCUCAGAUGGUAGAGCGUCUGCCUGCAAUGCAGAAGACCCGGGUUCAAUCCCUGGGUCAGGA
rnacentral:tRNA from 1 species